AGCCAUAAUCAUCAACAGUGAGUUCACAUUUUGAACUGAAUUACUGAAUUAAAUUAACGUUUCAACGAUUUUCUAAUUUUCUGAGAUGUAUCUGAAGGUGUGAAACACCAGUAGUAGUAAUAGUGAGCAUAUUUUAGUUUCGGGAGUUUACUCGCUAGAUCACGAGCUGUGUUAGGAGUUCAUCCCUCCACCUUUGAUCCCAGUGAAGAUUCGCUCGCUCAGUACGGGCUGAGCUCUCUGUGAGACUUUGACCCCUUUAGAAACUGCUCUGAGUUUUAUUGUCAGAGCGGUAAAAUGGCAGAGAGAGACGUAGAUGGCUUUUCUUCAUAUUCCCUUUAUGAGGAUCCGCUCGUCCAGUUCCCGCCCUGGAGGUCGUCCUAAAGUUGGUCAAGCCCCCCAGCGCAGAGGAGAGUCCAGACCGGGGAGUACCUCAUACAAUAUGUAACUGUGUUAGCACAGGGCUACGUUAGCGCAGGGCUACAUUAUUUCCCAUACUUUACUAUCAAUAUGUAACUGUGUUAGCACAGAGCUACGUUAUUUCCCAUACUUUAUUAUCAAUAUGUAACUGUUUUAGCACAGAGCUACGUUAGCGCAGGGCUACAUUAUUUCCCAUACUUUACUAUCAAUAUGUAACUGUAUUAGCGCAGGGCUACGUUAGCGCAGGUCUACAUUAUUUCCCAUACUUUACUAUCAAUAUGUAACUGUGUUAGCACAGGGCUACGUUAGCGCAGGGCUACAUUAUUUCCCAUACUUUACUAUCAAUAUGUAACUGUGUUAGCACAGGGCUACGUUAGCGCAGGGCUAUGUUAGAGCAUGGUUCUGUUGGCCAUUUCUUUAAGGAACAAUGUUUGAAAUGGCUUUAAUACACACUGGUCUGUCAGAGAGGCUGAAUAACUAGAAGUGUGGGCUGGAUCUCAGAUUUAAUGAAAUAUGUUGUUCCUGUUUCUUUGGAAGUUUCACUCAUUUGUGGGAUUUCAUCAGAAUAAAAAUUACAUUAUUCUGCCAUAGAUAUAAUUAGAUCAUUAGAAAUUGUGAAGGAAGGACGUUUGGUUGGGUAGUCAGACUGUUCUUCUUCUUUUCUGUUCUUUUUUUGAUUUUGUUCUUGGCUCUGUGAGAAAUAUGCUUUUCUGUCAAGGUCAGAUGCUUUCAGUUUGUCAUUAAAGAAGCAAACACAUUUGGUGUAGUUUUACAUGGAACAAAUAUAUAUAUAUAUUUUUAAAUGAAUAUUAAUUUUAGUAUUACCCAUUUUGUAGGUUUGUGUUGUUUUUGGAAAAACAAUAUUUUUGAAGGUUUGAUAAAACAGACAUUUUAUUUAUUAGCUGCAAUAAUGUACUACUACAACAAAAUAAAUAUUAUUAUUAAAGUUUUAUUUAGUUUUAAUUUGAGCAUUUUAUGUUCAAUAUUUUCAUGUUCAGUAGAAACAAAAAAAUCAAUCGUUUCUAUUUCAUAAACACUACUAUUAUCGAACUUAAUGUUGUAUGUAUUUCUGUAUGCUGUUACUGAUAUCUAUAAAAUGCAAUUUAAUGGUGGAUUUGACCUAUGUUUGACCUAUUUCUGAUUGUAUUUGUUACCCAGUAUCACUAUGCUGUAUGUAUUGUAUCAGAUGGUGCAGAGGGUGAAACGUCUGUCCUUAACUGAACUCAGAAAGUCAGUAUUAACUGACUGCAGCGCUCCAGCCAGCCGUGUUUAUACAGACCGUCUCUGCUCUGCUCUAAAAAGCCCGUCUUUCUUUUGAGUGGAAAAGCCGUGAUUCCAUUAGUGUAUAACCUGUUCACACAUGGGCAGCUUCAGUCCUGUUAACCAGCCUGGCUCAGAUAUCCUGCUCCUCCACAAGACGUCUUCUAAAUCCCCCUUUAGACAUGUUUUAUCAUGAACAUUCUGGCAUUAACAUGAGUUUUGACUUGCGUUUUUAUUUUGACUGCACUAUUUUGGUUGAAAUUAAUUGAAGUGCAUUUCCAGUGUAACAGGAUGAGAUCUGAUUUUACAUUCCUAUGUAAAAAGCACUUUAACGUGUAUAUUAUUUCCAGUGUUGGGCACGUUACUUUGAAAAAGUAAUAAGUUCUAGUU